rnacentral:rRNA from 1 species
UACGAAGGGUGCAAACGUUUGCUCGGAAUUAUUGGGCGUAAAGCGCACGUAGGCGGCUUAGCAAGUCGGAAGUGAAAUCCGAGGCUCAACCGUCGGAACUGCCUUUGAUACUGGGAAUCGUUGAAGUUCGGGAGAGGUGAGUGGAAUUGCGAGUGUAGAGGUGAAAUUCGUAGAUAUUCGCAAGAACACCAGUGGCGAAGGCGGCCCGCUGGGCAGUGGCUGACGGCUGAGGCGGCGAACAGCGUGGGG